GCCAAAUCGUGCUCAUCGUUUUUUUUGUCCAAUAGCCCCUACUUGUCUUAUUCUAUCUUUCGAGCUUUGGAUUUUAUUGGUUGUAUCUUUACAGUACAGGCCCUUUGAUACGGGAACACACCCGACAACAAUCACAGAAGCGCAAGGGGACGAAGUGAGACGGGAGGAAGGCUGCGAGGUACUGAGAGCAGAGGAGAAUCAGUUGGUGUUUGAAACUGCAGGGGAAGAAAGAGCGCCAGCGGCAGUGCCGAGCAGGAGCGACCGGCCACGACGGGAGUCGAGACCUCCAGUGAAGUAUGGAGACUUCGUGGUCGCACGGAAAAAGCGUUGAAGAUUCAGACGUGGAGAGUUAUUUUGCUUUCUUUAAUAUUAGUAUUUAUUUUGGAUGUUGCUAUUUCAUUAUUUGGACCGAUUUAAUUAAAGUUUAGAGUCGAGCCCAAUAAGCUCCUUUCCGGGUUUUCUUGGUGAUUCUUUCCCGGAUCGCAAAAGAGAGUCGAAUCAUCUAGGGUCCUUAGAUUAUAAAAGGGGAUUGUGUUAUGAAUUGUUCAUCAAGAAAUAACAUAUUUUUCCUA